UCCAAGCAACAGGUAGAGGUCCAGUAUUGUGAGAAGCAUUGUAGAUAUCGUCUGGAAGUAAUCCUGACUCCUGAGAGGUAAUUAUAACCGGCACGAAAGACCUGCAGUUCGGAACAUUUCCCGACUCCACGAGGAAUACCACCAUUGAAAUUAUUGAAGGAAAAAUCAAGGUGUCGUAACGAGGAACAAGGAAGACAAAUAGAGGAUGGGAUAGGACCUGAAAAGGUGUUACUGACAUUGAAACUAGUCAAGUUCCAAGCUUGUUGGAAAAAAGAAGAUGGAAUCAGACCAUGUAAGCGAUUAAUGGAAAAAUCCACCAUCUGAAUAUGACUGGAUGGUAGAGAAGAUGGUAACACUCCAAAGAGAAGGUUAUAGCUCAAAUCCAGGAUUUCGAGAUCAUUCAAGGACAAGAAGAGCUCAGUUUGAUCUAGAGAACCAAAAAGGGAAUUGUGUGAGAGAUUCAAGUAAGUGAGAUGUGUGAGAUUUGCAAGUGAUGAUGAGGGAAAAAUACCUUCCUUUAGUGUGAGCCCUUUGGAGGGUAAUCGCAAGUGGGUUACCCAAUCAUAUCGAUUACAAGUAAUCCCUUCCCAAUAGCAGCAAUUACUAGAAGUCCAGAAUAAGGAAGGGGAAGAUAGAGUGAGGGCAAAGGACAAGAGAGAGGUACGUUCAGUUUGGAUGCAUGCAUCAAUAUUAUGAGUAGAUAAAAUGAGAGAAAACAAGAUUAGCUUGAGAAUAAAGCCUUGUGUCACUGGGUACUCUUGUUGUACUGUUAUGUUUUUUCGAGGCUGAGCCAUGAUCAUGUGGUUGUGGACUUGUGAUAGAUUUUGAUCGUCAGUUUUUGCAUAUAUACAGAUUGAAGCAGAUUUGAAAUUCCAAGACGACCCAGAUUAUAUAUGAUACAUCUUGUCAAUGAAAUUAUACAAUUGGAAGAAAAUAAAACACGGCUGCAUAUAUUAAGGUGGAAAAUAGAAGCAAUGGCAUAUGGACAGAAGAAGGAAAAGCGCGGCUGGCGCCUGCUCCAGGUAACAAUUGAGGAGUAUGGUUUUCA